AGAGCGAACGCUGGCGGCAUGCUUAACACAUGCAAGUCGCACGGUCAGGUUUCGGCCUGGUAGUGGCGGACGGGUGAGUAACGCGUAGGUAUCUAUCCGAAGGUGGGGGAUAACGGCGGGAAACUGCUGCUAAUACCGCAUAUGACCUGAGGGUCAAAGGUCGCAAGACCGCCUGUGGAGGAGCCUGCGUACGAUUAGCUUGUUGGUGGGGUAAAGGCCUACCAAGGCGACGAUCGUUAGCUGGUCUGAGAGGAUGAUCAGCCACAUUGGGACUGAGACACGGCCCAAACUCCUACGGGAGGCAGCAGUGGGGAAUAUUGGACAAUGGGGGCAACCCUGAUCCAGCAAUGCCGCGUGUGUGAAGAAGGUCUUCGGAUUGUAAAGCACUUUCGACGGGGACGAUGAUGACGGUACCGUAUAAGAGCCCGGCUAACUUCGUGCCAGCAGCCGC
rnacentral:rRNA from 1 species